CUUUGAUAGAACGCUGCACACCACUUAUAUUAAUGGUCAGAUAGCAAAUCCAAAGCCAACUGGCUAUACCUCUACCUACUCAGAAAAAUAGAUGAUAUAUGCAGAAAUAGAUAAAGAAUAUAAAAACGUCCAAUUGUCCUAAUCUCUGACUUUAUUGAGUGAGGUCUCUAUCAGGAGUUGGAUUUUCUUAUAUCACACUGAGUAGGUGUCUAGGAUACAGGGAG